AACAAACGCUGGCGGCGUGCCUAAUACAUGCAAGUCGAACGAGGAAAGCUUUCGGGUGAGUACUAGUGGCGCACGGGUGAGGAAUAUAUGGGUAAUCUGCCCUCGAGUUGGGGAUAACCAGUCGAAAGACUGGCUAAUACCGAAUAAGACCACAGGAUCUGCGGACCUAGGGGUUAAAGGUUUUGCGCUUGAGGAUGAGCCCAUACGGGAUUAGCUAGUUGGCGAGGUAAUGGCUCACCAAGUCUACGAUCCCUAACUGGUCUUAGAGGAUGAUCAGUCACACUGGAACUGAGACACGGUCCAGACUCCUACGGGAGGCAGCAGUAGGGAAUAUUGCACAAUGGGGGAAACCCUGAUGCAGCGACGCCGCGUGAGUGAUGAAGGCCUUCGGGUCGUAAAGCUCUGUCGUAUGGGACUAACACAAUGAAGGUACCAUGCAAGAAAGGAUCGGCUAACUUCGUGCCAGCAGCCGCCGUAA
rnacentral:rRNA from 1 species